rnacentral:rRNA from 1 species
CAAAUGAAUUGACGGGGCCGCACAAGCGGUGGAGCAUGUGGUUAAUUCGAUGCAACGCGAAGAACCUACCUAGGCUUGACAUCCCGGGAAUCUUAGGAAACUAAGAAGUGCCUUUCGGGAACCCGGUGACAGGUGCUGCAUGGCUGUCGUCAGCUCGUGUCGUGAGAUGUUGGGUUAAGUCCCGCAACGAGCGCAACCCUUAUCUUUAAUUGCCAUCAUUCAGUUGGGCACUUUAGAGAGACUGCCGGUGUUAAACCGGAGGAAGGUGGGAUGACGUCAAGUCCUCAUGGCCUUUAUGCUUAGGGCUACACACGUGCUACAAUGGGUGGUACAAAGAGAAGCCAACUCGCGAGAGUGCGCAAAUCUCAAAAAGCCAUCCUAAGUUCGGAUUGAAGUCUGCAACUCGACCUCAUGAAGCUGGAAUCGCUAGUAAUCGCGGAUCAGCAUGCCGCGGUCGAAUACGUUCCCGGGCCUU